rnacentral:rRNA from 1 species
GACGAACGCUGGCGGCGUGCCUAACACAUGCAAGUCGAACGGAAAGGCCUCUUUCGGGGGGUACUCGAGUGGCGAACGGGUGAGUAACACGUGAGUAACCUGCCCUUGACUUUGGGAUAACUUCAGGAAACUGGGGCUAAUACCGGAUAGGAGCUCCUGCUGCAUGGUGGGGGUUGGAAAGUUUCGGCGGUUGGGGGUGGACUCGCGGCUUAUCAGCUUGUUGGUGGGGUAGUGGCUUACCAAGGCUUUGACGGGUAGCCGGCCUGAGAGGGUGACCGGCCACAUUGGGACUGAGAUACGGCCCAGACGCCUACGGGAGGCAGCAGUGGGGAAUAUUGCACAAUGGGUGGAAGCCUGAUGCAGCAACGCCGUGUGCGGGAUGACGGCCUUCGGGUUGUAAACCGCUUUCGCUCAUGACGAAGCUUUGUGUGACGGUAGUGGGUAAAGAAGCACCGGCUAACUACGUG